UGGGGAAUCUUGCGCAAUGGGCGAAAGCCUGACGCAGCCAUGCCGCGUGAGUGAUGAAGGCCUUAGGGUUGUAAAACUCUUUCACCGGGGACGAUAAUGACGGUACCCGGAGAAGAAGCCCCGGCUAACUUCGUGCCAGCAGCCGCGGUAAUACGAAGGGGGCUAGCGUUGCUCGGAAUUACUGGGCGUAAAGGGCGCGUAGGCGGAUCAGCAAGUUGGGGGUGAAAGCCCGGGGCUCAACCUCGGAAUUGCCUUCAAAACUGCUGAUCUAGAGUACGGGAGAGGUGUGUGGAACUCCGAGUGUAGAGGUGAAAUUCGUAGAUAUUCGGAAGAACACCAGUGGCGAAGGCGACACACUGGCCCGUUACUGACGCUGAGGCGCGAAAGCGUGGGGAGCAAACAGGAUUAGAUACCCUGGUAGUCCACGCUGUAAACGGUGAUUGCUAGUUGUCGGCAGGCAUGCCUGUCGGUGACGCAGCUAACGCAUUAAGCAAUCCGCCUGGGGAGUACGGUCGCAAGAUUAAAACUCAAAGGAAUUGCGGGGUCAUAGCUGUUUCC
rnacentral:rRNA from 1 species